CGAAGAACAUGUCGGUGUUUGGAGUGAUUUCUUCUCCUUUGGUCGGCGAUCGGGCUUGGCCGGAGUUGAUCAUCUUCACAGCCCCGAUCCGAAUCUGCCGUUUGUCUUCUUUGGGUGCCUCCUUCUCUUCCUCGAUGGCAAGGAGGGCGUUGACACGGCCCCUUUGUGGGCACUUCUGGGUCCAGUGCGGACCUUUGCAAAUAAAGCAAGGAGAGGGCGGAGGUUGAUCGAACUUACUCGCGUAGUCGAUCGGUGGUCGACCUCUUUG
rnacentral:lncRNA from 1 species